UUGAAGGAAGACAAGGAUUUCAACAGACAGAGGAUAUGAAGAAAAUAUGGCUUCACAUAAAUAUGUAGCUGGAAAAGGGAAUAUUAUGUUAAUAGGUGCAAGAUAUGAUCAACUCCACCAGCUCCUCUAUUUUCCUUCCCAGAAGAAGCUGUGAAUCAUCUUUCUGUUUACUGGAAACUCUCUUCUGUCCUUCUGGUUUCAUUUAUAGCAAGAAUGAAAAAAUCAUUAAGAUUCUAUUUUUGCAAUAACAUUUCCACUUAAUAGGCAAAGUUCUCACACUUUGAGUACCAACAGUUAAAUUAAUGUUGAGAGAAAUUAUUAUUUCUCUCAGAUAUUAAUAACCAAUUACUCAGUUAGGACUAAGGUUUUUCCCUUUUCUAUUCCCUCAUUCAGAAAUCAGCUCCUUUGUACUUAUUUGGCCAGCAUCUGAAGGACAUCACAGAUAAUGAGACUGGAUUAACUUUCUCUUCAAUCUUGUUCAGACCCCACCCAAGUGGGGAAGCCCAUUGUGUUCUAUUCAGAUCCUUUGUGCAGACUGCCAGGGGCUGGGGGUGGUCUGAGAGUAAAAGUGACACAAUCAAAGUCAUGUUUCCCCAACCUGUCAUUAGAAUAGGCCCACAUUCAUUCUUCUUAUUGGUAACCAAUCAGAGUUGAUUGCCACCUGUCAUAAACACCCACUCUUCUAAAGGCAUAUAAGUAUCAAGAAGCUGCCAUGAUCCAUCUUUGGUUCCUGAAAGAUGGC